UGCCGAGAAAAGCCUCUAGAUAGAAAAUAGGUGCCCGUACCGCAAACCGACACAGGUAGUCAAGAUGAGAAUUCUAAGGUGAGCGAGCGAACUCUCGUUAAGGAACUCGGCAAAAUGACCCCGUAACUUCGGGAGAAGGGGUGCUCUUUAGGGUUAACGCCCAGAAGAGCCGCAGUGAAUAGGCCCAAGCGACUGUUUAUCAAAAACACAGGUCUCUGCUAAACCGUAAGGUGAUGUAUAGGGGCUGACGCCUGCCCGGUGCUGGAAGGUUAAGAGGAGUGGUUAGCUUCUGCGAAGCUACGAAUCGAAGCCCCAGUAAACGGCGGCCGUAACUAUAACGGUCCUAAGGUAGCGAAAUUCCUUGUCGGGUAAGUUCCGACCCGCACGAAAGGCGUAACGAUUUGGGCACUGUCUCAACGAGAGACUCGGUGAAAUCAUAGUACCUGUGAAGAUGCAGGUUACCCGCGACAGGACGGAAAGACCCCGUGGAGCUUUACUGUAGCCUGAUAUUGAAAUUCGGCACAGCUUGUACAGGAUAGGUAGGAGCCUUUGAAACGUGAGCGCUAGCUUACGUGGAGGCGCUGGUGGGAUACUACCCUAGCUGUGUUGGCUUUCUAACCCGCACCACUUA
rnacentral:rRNA from 1 species